AGGAGUGUAGCUCAAUUUGGUUAGAGCACCGGUCUCCAAAACCGGGGGUUGAAGGUUCGAGUCCCUCCACUCCUGCCA
rnacentral:tRNA from 1 species